rnacentral:rRNA from 1 species
AUUGAACGCUGGCGGCAGGUUAACACAUGCAAGUCGAGCGGGGAAGGGUAGCUUGCUACCUGACCUAGCGGCGGACGGGUGAGUAAUGCUUAGGAAUCUGCCUAUUAGUGGGGGACAACAUUCCGAAAGAGAGCUAAUACCGCAUACGCCCUACGGGGGAAAGCAGGGGACCUUCGGACCUUGCGCUAAUAGAUGAGCGUAAGUCAGAUUAGCUAGUUGGUGGGGUAAAGGCCUACCAAGGCGACGAUCUGUAGCGGGUCUGAGAGGAUGAUCCGCCACACUGGGACUGAGACACGGCCCAGACUCCUACGCGAGGCAGCAGUGGGGAAUAUUGGACAAUGGGCGCAAGCGUGUUCCAGCCAUGCCGCGGUGUUAAGAAAGGCCUUUUUGUUUCCAAAGGAAUUUUUAAGCGGAGGGGGGGGCUACUUGGGAUUAAAACUCCUAGGGAUAGGGGGACGUUCCCUCGCGGAAAUAAGCCCCGGCCUAACCUCUGUUCCCACCGCCCCCGGGUAAAAAAAGGGGGGGGCGAGCCGUUAAACCGAUUUUACUGGGGCCAAAGGCGGGGGAGGGGGGGUUUUUUAAAGCGGAAGGGGAAAACCCCCGGGGCUUAAUUUUGGAAAUUCCCUUCGAAACUGGGGGAAACUUGAGGUUUGGGAAGAGAAGGUAAAAAUUCCAGGUGUAGCGGUGAAAAGGCGAAAAGACCUGGAGGAAAACCCCUUGGCAAAGCCGCCCAUUUGGCCCAAAACUUAUCGCUGAGGGCACAAAAGCAUGGGGGAGAAAACAGAUUUAGAAACCUCUAUAGUCCAGGGGGGAAAUCCCCCAUGGGUUGCCGCCCGGGGGAUCACUAAGUUUCUGAGGCGCCCCCCCCCGGGGGCCCCUAUUCCCCCCAUAGGGAGGGGAAAUUUAGGCGCUCACUGAUAUCGUUUUUAAACAGUCGCGACUUGGAAACCCUGGGAUUACCAAAUUAAUCCCCUUUCAACAAAUCCCCUUUUCUGCGCUGGGCAAAAGUGAAGGGCUCGGAAUAUUAAAGUUGGCCCAGUGCGGUUCCCGUGUA